AGUCAACAUGCCCAGGGGACGUGGAUAACCUCGGGAAACUGAGGAUAAACCGCGAUAGGUCAUCACUUCUGGAAUGGGUAAUGACUUAAACCUAUAUGGCCCCUGGAUUGGACUGCGGCCGAUCAGGCUGUUGGUGAGGUAAUGGCCCACCAAACCUGUAACCGGUACGGGCUCUGAGAGGAGGAGCCCGGAGAUGGGCACUGAGACAAGGGCCCAGGCCCUAUGGGGCGCAGCAGGCGCGAAACCUCUGCAAUAGGCGAAAGCUUGACAGGGUUACUCUGAGUGAUUUCCGUUAAGGAGAUCUUUUGGCACCUCUAAAAAUGGUGCAGAAUAAGGGGUGGGCAAGUCUGGUGUCAGCCGCCGCGGUAAUACCAGCACCCCGAGUGGUCGGGACGUUUAUUGGGCCUAAAGCAUCCGUAGCCGGUUCUACAAGUCUUCCGUUAGAUCCACCUGCUUAACAGAUGGGCUGCGGAAGAUACUAUAGAGCUAGGAGGCGGGAGAGGCAAGCGGUACUCGAUGGGUAGGGGUAAAAUCCGUUGAUCCAUUGAAGACCACCAGUGGCGAAGGCGGCUUGCCAGAACGCGCUCGACGGUGAGGGAUGAAAGCUGGGGGAGCAAACCGGAUUAGAUACCCGGGUAGUCCCAGCUGUAAACGAUGCAGACUCGGUGAUGAGUUGGCUUAUUGCUAACUCAGUGCCGCAGGGAAGCCGUUAAGUUUGCCGCCUGGGGAGUACGGUCGCAAGACUGAAACUUAA
rnacentral:rRNA from 1 species